UGUUACUUCUGUCAGAGCUGAACUUGAAAUUGCCAUCUCAUUUUUGGAGACCUACAGUUGAAUAUUUGCAUAUCUCUGGAAUGGUGUCUUAGUCUGUUUUGUGCUACUAUAACAGAAGACCACAGACUGAGUCAUUUAUAAGAGCAGAAAAUUUAUUUGGCUCAUGGAGCAGCCUAGAACCCUACUAUUAGGUCUGAGUCAGUCAGAUGGAAAGAAGGCGAAGUAGAAGCAUCGAGGUCGAAUCAGUCACACAUGGACUUCCCUAGUGGACUCAUUGAAAACCAGACCUUCUGAGCCACCCUUGGUAGGGGCUCUGGAAGUGGCUUCUGAAGAGACCCCAUUCUGCACCUCCACCAAGGGCCUGGUGGGAGAAGUGUGCCCUGCAGUGCCCUCAGAAAGGCCCACUGAAACUGCAAACAUUCCCUUUCUGCACUGCCAUUUGGUUCAUGAAGACAUAUGGCUGGGAGAAGUUGAGUAUCCUAUGUCACCUUUUAGUCCAACAAUUUUAUGGAGGCUUAGCAUGGGCAGGCCUGGUGCCAGGUGAUGAGGAUGCACAUGGGAGCAGAUCUGGCCCUGCACAUAGGAGCCCACAUUUCUGGAUAGUGGGGCGGAGGUGACACAUGUCCACAUAACUGCAGUGUACAGAGAUAGCAAAACAGUAAGAUACAGGAUGAUUGAAGGUCUGUCUGUAGCUCAUCCAAAUGAUAUGGUGACCAGUUCCCAAGAGGAAUCUCUACACGUUUCCUGCUAUUGAGCCUAUGGAGCGUGAUAAAAGAAAUCUGGGCUGGGUGUGGUGGCUCACGCCUGUAAUCCCACCACUUUGGGAGGCUGAGGUGGGUGGAUCACCUGAGGUCAGGAAUUCUAGACCAGCCUGGCCAACAUGACAAAACCCCUUCUCUACUAAAAAUACAAAAAAUUAGCCAGGCAUGGUGGCAGAUGCCUGUAAUCCCAGCUAUUUGGGAGGCUGAGGCAGGUGCCAUCCCAGCCAACAUGGCACCAUCCCAGCCAGCAUGGUGCUAUCCCAGAAAAUAUGGCACCAUUCUAACCAACAUGGCACCACCCCAGCCUCAGGUAUUCCUUUAUAGCAAUACGAAUGGACUAAGACACUGGCAUAGCAAUAACACUAAUAAAUAUAUAUUGACUGAAUGAAAGAACAAACAUGUUAUCUUUCUGAAAGAAUAUAUUUUUUGGCCAGGCUUGGUGGCUCACGCCUGUAAUCCCAGCACUUUGGGAGGCCGAGGCGGGUGGAUCACGAGGUCAGGAGAUCGAGACCAUCCUGGCUAACAUGGUGAAACCCCAUCUCUACUAAAAACACACACAAAAAAAAUUAGCCGGGCAUGGUGGCAAGCAUCUGUAGUCCCAGCUACUAGGGAAGCUGAGGCAGGAGAAUGGUGUAAGCUUGCAGUGAGCAGAGAUGGGCUUACUGCACUCCAGCCUGGGUGACAGAGCAAGACUCCGUCUCAAAAAAAGAAAAAGAAGAAUGUAUUUUUUACAACACAAUCAAAUCAAUGCCUUAAAACUAGGCUGUCAUCACAUUUUUCCCCCCGUUUUACAUACUUAAAUUGGCUAAAUCAAGAAUAGGGGCUGGCUCUCAGUCCCUACCUCGUGGGGGGUGCCUCCCCUCCCUGCGAUGGGGGUCCUAAGAGCCUGGGGCGGAAGAGGGGCUGGCUCUCAGCCACCACAAAAUGGGGAGCCUUUAUGUUCAGGUUUUGCCCAAGAGUCAGCUUAUUUGCUUCUGGUACUAGCAGGGCAGUUGAUGCCGUGGCCUUCAAACAUGGGGGCCAUCCUUUAGAAACCCUUUCUAUUUGUUUAGACACGUAGGCCACCGGCCUCAGCCAGGGCCCCAGAGUUUCGGUUAAAAUUCCAGCUGCCAUCUUUUCUCUAUCUGACGCAUUCAAUGGAAAAGGCUUUGUCAGAUCUGGUAGCCCCGGGGCUGGGGCUGCCAGAAGUUUUUCCUUUAACUCAUGAAAGACUUGCUGUUGUUGGGAUCCCCAUUCUAAAGGUUCCCGGUCCCCGCCCCCUUUGUGACCUCAUACAAAGACUUGGCUAAUACUGCAAAGUUUGGGAUGCACAGUCUACAAAACCCCACAGCCCCUAAGAAUUCCCUCACCUGCCUUCUGCCCUUAGGCUCCGGUAGAUUGCAAAUGACCUGCUUUCUUUCUGUUCCCGGGCGUUUGGACCCCUGUCUUGGACCGCUGUCGGAUAGUAAAUCCCAAGUAAGGUACCUGCCGUCGGCAGAUUUGAGCUUUCUUCUUGGACACCUAAUACCCAGAGUCCUCCAGGCUCCGGUAGAUUGUAAAUAACCUGCUUUCUUUCUGUUCCCGGGCUGCGUUCGGACCCCUGUCGGAUAGUAAAUCCCAAGCAAGGUACCU
rnacentral:lncRNA from 1 species